GAGAAACUUCUGGGGAGUAGCUCGUUGGUAUGAGGGUCUGCGCUGGAUUUUAUCGAUCUAGGGUUAGGGCUUCUUAUUCCAUUAUGGUCGCAAGCGAGCUCAUCGCGAGAACUCGCGUCAUCGAAUUCGAUCUAUGGUCACCGCAGAAGGUUAGAAUUUAGAUAUUUGCUGUUGAGUUGAAGCCCUAAUCUCACCAAUGGGUGCUCCCAAGCAAAGAUGGACACCAGAGGAAGAAGCUGCUCUCAAAGCUGGAGUACGUAAGCAUGGGGUUGGCAAAUGGCGCACAAUUUUAAAAGAUCCUGAAUUUAAUGGUGUAUUAUGCAUGCGAUCUAAUGUUGACCUCAAGGACAAGUGGCGGAAUAUUAAUGUAACUGCAUAUGGAUGGGGAUCUCGAGGAAAGGCCAGGGCAGCUUUGAAAAAGAGCCGACAGAUCUCCAGGCAUGAUGGUGCACUAGUGUCUGUUGGAACCACGGUCGAGGAUACAGACACAGAAAUUAUUGACGCCAAGCCUCUUACCAUGUCUAGUGAACCACAUCAAACUACUGGUCAGAAGAGGUCUCUGUUCAGGCUAGACACUCUGAUACUGGAAGCUGUAACAAAUUUGAAGGAGCCCGCUGGGUCUGACAAGGCAGCUAUUGCCAUGUAUAUAGAGGAUCGGUAUUGGCCUCCCACAGAUUUUAAACAGUUGUUAUCAGCAAAAUUGAAGGCUUUAACUUCAAGUGGGAGAUUGGUCAAGGUGAAGCGCAAGUAUAGUACACCAUCAAGUUCAGCUUUUUCAGAAGAAAAAAGCUCCAAGCUUUUGCUUCUUGAGGGAAGACAAAGGGAAUCAAGGGUUGAUAUCAAGCCCCUCUUAAAAUCUCAAGUAGAUGCUGAAUUAGCACGAACACAAAGUAUGACUGCUCAGGAAGCUGCAGCUCUUGCUGCUAAAGCAGUUGCCGAGGCAGAAGCUGCAAUUGCAGAAGCCGAAGAAGCGGCGAGAGAGGCAGAAGCUGCUGAAGCUGAUGCAGAAGCAGCUCAAGCUUUUGCUGAGGCAGCAAUGUUGACACUGAGAAAUAAAAAUGCUACUAAACUGGCUUUGGUACAAUGGUAAAGUUUUCUUUAAAUAUUUAAAGCUAAGGUUGCAUACAUUGACCCUCCUCAGACCCCGCAUUGAUGAUUCAAGUCUGACAAGGGCGACUCAGCUUUUUACUGCAUGCAACUUUGCAAUACAUACCUCAUGGCGGGUUUGUCAUACAUGUAGAUAUAUGUUCAGGUUUUGUAUAGCUUAUAUUGUGAAGAUCUUCCAUAAUGUUCAUGAAUUAUGAACCUGGUCACUUUGUUUGUUUGGAUGGUCGACUUGGGAGAUUGCUUUAUCUUCAAUCUUCCACAUUAUUGUUUCAUAGAACAAUUUCUGGUUGGCAUGCUAUAUAAAGUAGCAAAUGGGGGCUGUUUCGGCAGCUUGAGUUUGUUUUGUUUA